GACGGAGGAUGCAAGUGUUAUCCGGAAUCACUGGGCGUAAAGCGUCUGUAGGUGGUUUAAUAAGUCAACUGUUAAAUCUUGAGGCUCAACCUCAAAAUCGCAGUCGAAACUAUUAGGCUAGAGUAUAGUAGGGGUAAAGGGAAUUUCCAGUGGAGCGGUGAAAUGCGUAGAGAUUGGAAAGAACACCGAUGGCGAAGGCAACUUUACUGGGCUAGUUACUAACACUCAGAGACGAAAGCUAAGGGUAAGCAAAUGGGGAUUAAGAUGACCCCGGUAGUCCCGAGCAACCAACGAUCUCUGUCUACCCGUA
rnacentral:rRNA from 1 species